rnacentral:rRNA from 1 species
AUGGCUCGGGUGAGGAUUGAGGAUGUGGGAAAAGGUUACUUUGAUGAGCUAGUCAACCGAAGCAUGAUUCAACCAUCAAGAAGGAACGUAGAAGGAAUUGUUAAGAGCUGCCAUGUCCACGAUAUCAUGCGUGAUGUCAUGGUCUCAAUUUCCCAACAUGAAAGUCUCGUGUACUUGGCACAAGAUAAUGUAACUAGUGUCACAGAGGAGACCUUCCGACAUUUCUCACCUUGGGUUGAUCCUAGUGAGCGCACCAAGGCAGUUGCAGAGCUACAUAUGGCUUGGUCUAGCUGUUGGUCAAAGUCAGCUGGUGUGAGGGUGCCAAAAGGAAUCGCCAAACUGAAAGAGCUUCAAGUACUAGAGGUCGUGGACAUCCGCCGAACUAGUCGCCAAGCAAUUAAAAGAGCUAGGUGA